rnacentral:tRNA from 4 species
GUCCCCGUAGUUAAAUGGAUAUAACGACUCUCUCCUAAGGAGUAAUUACAGGUUCGAUUCCUGUCGGGGGCACCA